UACAGAGGUGGCAAGCGUUGUUCGGAAUUACUGGGCGUAAAGGGCGCGUAGGCGGUUCGUUAAGUCCUGUGUGAAAUCCCCCGGCUCAACUGGGGAACUGCACAGGAAACUAGCGGGCUUGAGUUCGGGAGAGGGAAGCGGAAUUCCGGGUGUAGCGGUGAAAUGCGGUAGAUAUCCGGAGGAACACCGGUGGCGAAGGCGGCUUCCUGGACCGGACACUGACG
rnacentral:rRNA from 1 species